rnacentral:rRNA from 1 species
UGGGGAAUAUUGCACAAUGGACGGAAGUUUGAUGCAGCGACGCCGCGUGGAGGGUGUAGGCCUUCGGGUUGUGAACUCCUUUUUCUCGCGAAAAAGGCACAGUUUUGGCUGUGUUGAUGGUAGUGGGGGAAGAAGCGCCGGCUAACUACGUGCCAGCAGCCGCGGUAAUACGUAGGGCGCGAGCGUUGUCCGGAAUUAUUGGGCGUAAAGGGUGCGCAGGCGGCUUUACAAGUUGGAUGUGAAAUAUUGUGGCUCAACCACAAACGUGCAUCCAAAACUGCAAAGCUUGAGUUAAGGAGAGGUAAGUGGAAUUCCUGGUGUAGCGGUGGAAUGCGUAGAUAUCAGGAGGAAUACCGGUGGCGAAGGCGACUUACUGGACUUAAACUGACGCUCAGGCACGAAAGCGUGGGGAGCAAACAGG